rnacentral:misc_RNA from 1 species
AAAACGUUUAUGCUAUGCUUGUAAAUUAUUAGUUGAAAAUGAAAAACAUUUUGUACAUUACUGUCUUGUGUAUGACAAUCUUUGAUUUCAUUAUUGUGAUAUUUUCAAUGAUAAAUUGUAGUGUGGUAUUGAUCCCAUAAAAGGAAUUGUUAAUUCAUGCGAUUAUAAUACUACAAAACGUUUAUGUAUCUACUUGGAUAAAUGUUUUAUGCAGUGAAAACAGUUCCAGGGACUAUGAAGUAUUGUAUAAAACUAUCUUGCAUGCGGUAGCCUUUAUGUUAUAAUUUUUUUUUGUCUGUCAUUUGAUUUCAUUUUGACCGUAUGCCAACAUGGUGAUGUCAAUAAACCAUUGAAUUG